UGUCCCACCGGAUGGGAAGUUUUUGGGUGCAACUGUUACCACAACGACAGACAGUCUAGAACUUGGUCUGAUAGCAGGAGUUACUGCCAGUCUCUUGGGGGAGACCUGGUGACCAUCAAGAGCCCAGAGAAACAGUGGUUCAUAACUAACAAGUACUACGCUGGCUGGAUUGGACUGAAGAAGGGGCCAGAUGGCAACUGGAGAUGGACUGAUGACACACCAGUCUCCACAUGGUACUGGUACCCUGGAAAGCCAAGGUCAGGUGAUUGUGUGGUUAUCCAUCAAUCUUACACCACCAACCACAAAACCUGGCAUGAUUAUCACUGUAAUCACCCCGGGCAUUGGGCCUUGUGUGAGAAGCCGGCCUACCCACAGAAAUAGCAGCUGCCUUACAGAUUGAGAUGACCGUGGCGGUAUUCCAAGAACCUAAGUUAUAUAAAACCAGGUGAGGUUAACCUUGAGUAAAAGUGAGGCAAAGUGGCGAGUCCUCACCUGUGGGCUAUGUAAGUUAAUAGCAGAUGUAUCCCUUUAUGUAUUCACUUAGCCAGGUUUAUCACUUCCUUGUUCCUGGAAUACUCCAUGUUUGUCCUCUGCAGCUUGUUUACUGCUGCAUUUUGCUUUGCUCUGCUGUAACUAAAGGUGGUCCAACUGUGUACUGAUGUACUCUGUAUUCACCUCACACUCCAUACGUGCUAU